rnacentral:rRNA from 1 species
GAUGAACGCUGGCGGCGUGCCUAAUACAUGCAAGUCGAACGGAGAGAGCAAUCUCUUAGUGGCGAACGGGUGAGUAACGCGUUGGUGACCUGCCCCGAAGUGUGGGAUACCAGGCCGAAAGGCUUGCUAAUACCGCAUGACCCACCGGAAGAUUAGAAACCGGGUGGGAAAGCCGAAAGGCGCUUUGGGAGGGGCCUGCGUCCCAUCAGCUAGUUGGUAAGGUAACGGCUUACCAAGGCGAAGACGGGUAGGGGACCUGAGAGGGUGACCCCCCACAAUGGAACUGAAACACGGUCCAUACACCUACGGGUGGCAG